ensembl:lncRNA
CCAGAUGAAGAACAUGAUGAUUGGUUGUAUUGUAACAUUAAGUGAAUAUGGAUUGAUGUCAGUGAGGGAUUUCACAUUCAUUUGUGGUGUGAAAACAUGGCAGGUCUCCCUGCUCGAUGUCGCACCGUCUCAUUCAUUCACUUGGCUCAUGACGUCCACCUGAAUGUUCCUCUUUGGCUAAAAAGUGACCUAAAUCGCUUGAGACAGAGUCAGAGCCUCCAGCCACCAACCUCACCGCACGUCACUGCCAGCAGCUCUGUGAAAGGUCCAACGUCUAGUUUCAGAAGAUCUAAGGAGACUUCUACAGGCGGCUUCAGACUGAUACGUGGGGAAGUUGUUCCGCCCC